rnacentral:rRNA from 1 species
UACGUAGGGGGCGAGCGUUGUCCGGAUUUAUUGGGCGUAAAGAGCUCGUAGGCGGCUCGGUAAGUCGGAUGUGAAACCUCCAGGCUCAACCUGGAGACGCCAUCUGAUACUGCCGUGGCUUGAGUCCGGUAGAGGAGCAGGGAAUUCCUGGUGUAGCGGUGAAAUGCGCAGAUAUCAGGAGGAACACCAGCGGCGAAGGCGCUGCUCUGGGCCGGUACUGACGCUGAGGCGCGAAAGCGUGGGGAGCAAACAGG